UACGUAGGGGGCAAGCGUUGUCCGGAUUUAUUGGGCGUAAAGAGCUCGUAGGCGGUUCGAUAAGUCGGACGUGAAAUCUCCACGCUCAACGUGGAGGGGCCGUUCGAUACUGUCGUGACUCGAGUCCGGUAGGGGAGUGUGGAAUUCCUGGUGUAGCGGUGAAAUGCGCAGAUAUCAGGAGGAACACCAAUGGCGAAGGCAGCACUCUGGGACGUGACUGACGCUGAGACGCGAAAGCGUGGGGAGCAAACAGG
rnacentral:rRNA from 1 species